rnacentral:lncRNA from 1 species
CAAAAAAGUACAUCCAACAGAAGUAGGUAAAAAUAAUAUUCUGGUAGGAGUGGUCCUGGAAACUAGUUUAUAUGUUUUAAGUAACAUUUUGGAUAGGAGGAAUUACUAUUGCUGGUUUCUAUUAUUAUUCACACACUCCUUUUUUUCAACCCUGCAGAGCACACUGAAGUAAAGCAACACGUGCUUAGGUGUCAUCAGUCUACACUGCAAACAGAAGAACUGAGAUUUUUCUCCAUCACAGAAAGGAACUAGAGCCAUCUGCUUAUAUUCUUAGCUUAUUUUUCUGUUCGGGGUUAAGAGCUCAUGUGUGGGAAGCCUGGUGCCGAGGUGACAGAGCUGGAAGCCGGUGCAGGAGUUUGAAGAGGUGCGGUCUAGAGGAAGGCCUCGAGGUCACUGGGGGCUGUGUCCUCGGGAGACAGUAAGGUUAUGCUCGUGGAACCCCCAUGUUAUUGUAGAAGGACAGUCUAUGCACCCCCACCCCUCUGGCUUCCUUCCUGACAAUAAGAUCCUUCGCACACACCCCUACCACUCUGAUGUCGUCCUCUCUGAGGCCCUGGCUUAAGUGAAGCUGAUGCAGGCACUGUGCCCUUUAACCUACAGAACUGUGCCCUAAAUAAAGCUUUUUCUUACAAGUG